rnacentral:tRNA from 1 species
ACCUGGCUGGCUCAAUCCAGAGAGCAUGUGACUCUUGAUCUCAGCGUUGUGAGUUCAAGCCCCAUGCUGGGUG